AUUGUUAUCAAAUUCACUUUUAACUAAAAAUGAUAACAAAAACACACUAACUAAAAAUAAUGAAACCCUAAAAGCUAAGGCGCCGUCGUUCAUCCAUCUUCUCGAACCUAGCCUUGGCGUCGUUCAUCCAUCUUCAGCGUUCAACUUCAUCUUCUCGAACCCAGCCUCUCUCUGUCGCGGUUUUGCUGUCCUUCUCGCCGUUCUGCUGUCCUUCUGUGUCGUGGUUCAGCGUUCGCCAUUUCUCUUACUGUCCUUCUUGCCGUUCUGGUCGUCGUGCUGCUCGCCUCUCUCUGUCGCAGUUCUGCUCACCUCUCUCUGUCGCGGUUCUGCUCGCUUCUCUGUCGUGGUUCUGCUCGCCGUGCUGCUCGAAGGUUAGUGCUCAGUUGUGCUCCAUCUUCGUUUUUUUAGAAAUCAAUCAAGAAAAUUGGAUGCCUUUGGGUAUAAUCAAUCAAUCAAGACCCACCGCCUUGACUUCAGUUCUCCGAUCAGCCUCCGCGCUCAUGCCAGAGCCCUCGCUCCUCUUCUCCAACGAUUCCAACGCAGCUUGGCUUCCAUGGCCAGUGAAAAUCCAUUCAAGGGAAACCUGACAAGUCUCCUCAAGCCUGGAGGUGGCGAGUUUGGAAAAUUCUAUAGCCUUCCUUCUCUCAAAGAUCCAAGAGCUGACAAGUUGCCGUAUUCUAUCAGAAUUCUCCUUGAAUCUGCCAUUCGUAAUUGUGACAAUUUCCAAGUCAAGAAAGAGGAUGUUGAGAAGAUUAUUGACUGAGAAAACACUUCUCCAAAGCAAGUUGAAAUUCCUUUCAAGCCUGCGUGGGUCCUCUUGCAGGAUUUUACUGGAGUCCCAGCUGUUGUUGACCUAGCUUGCAUGUGUGAUGCAUUGAAUAAGCUUGGCAGUGAUUCUAAUAAGAUUAAUCCUCUGGUUAGCCCAGGUUCUUUACUUCAAGCCCCUUUGGAUGAUGAUGCUAGUAGAGGCACGUGAGUAUGGCUGCUUAGACACAAUGAUUGAUUAAACAGCUACCAUACAAGCUGUUUAAGUGUGAAACCAAAGAAACUCUAGACUUAAUCCAGUUUAUUGUUCCUAUCUUUUAAACAACCUUUGCAGGGUGACAAAGCAUCUUUGCGACACACAGAGAUGCCCAAUAGAUUUGAUAACUCCACCUGAUGAUUGUCAUGUCAAUUAUACACUAUCCUUCUCUCUUCAAGUUGCACUGAAGGUAUUGGAAAGGAAAACUUUUUGAAUGGAGCUGGUGGUGGUGCUGGACAUGGUGGAAGAGGAGGGUCUGGAUAUUUCAAUGGGAGAGUGAGCAUUGGUGGUGAUGAGUAUGGAAAUGCUAUUUUUCCGUGUAGAGGUGGAAUGAUUGGUAAAUAGUUUUGAAUACC